UCAUGGCGGGUGGCGGUCAGCUGAGGGCAAGACCCCAGGGAGGAGAUGUGGCCCCCCAGUGAUGGAUGGAUCCCGAACAACGUUACAACAGCCCAGGGACUGAGUGGAGUGAAAGAAACCAGUCUGAAGUUGCUACAUAUGAUUCCUACUGUACGACAUUCUGGAAAAGUCACCAUGUUGGAAGGCAAUCCCAAGUCCAUGGAGAUGUUAUAUAAUGGUGUUCCAGACAAUAGUGCCAGCUAAUGACCCAGGACACAACAGAUUGGAACUGUCACAGGGUCACAGUUCCCUGAAGUCAAAAUAAUACAGUCAACUGUGAAGAACAACUGUUGUUACUGAAUCCAGAGAGAAACAUCUCCCGAGGAUUUCCAUAAAGAGAAUCCCUAUAGUGUGCCUGGGAUCCACAACCAGCAAGUGACUGAGUCAUCACUUCAUCCAAUUCUUCUGACUUUAGAUUCUUCUGCUUUCUCAAGUGUCGGAUUCCUGCCACAGGUUAGACAUAAGGUGAGACCAUGGGGUCCUGAGUGUCUGAGAGGAGGCAGAAAAUCUUGGAAGGAGAAGCUGGAGCUCAUAAGGUCAGAGCUCCUUGGAGUCACCAACAAACCUGCCUUCUCUUCCUCCCAAUUCUUUUGCAUGGAAUCUGACCUGGAUGAUGAAAGAUUCCUUCCCUUUCCUGUCUCAUCGCAGCCGAUAUGGUCUGGAGUGCAGCUUUGACUUCCCCUGUGAGCUGGAGUAUUCCCCUCCACUGCACAACCUUGGGAACCAGAGCUGGUCCUGGCGCCAUGUUUCUUCUGAGGAGGCCUCUCAGAUGGACCUGUUGGAUGGGCCUGAGGCGGAGCAUUCCAAGGAAAUGCCC